GCCGCAGUGGCCAAGUGGUAAGGCACUGCACUUGUAAAUUUAGUGGUGAGGAGCGCUUUUGGUGCUUUCGAAUCCUUGAUAAUGCAGCGAUCCACGGUUCAAUCCCGUGCUGCGGCA
rnacentral:tRNA from 1 species